GGCGAGUGAAGCAGCAAUAGCUCAAAUUUGAAAUCUGGCGUCUUCGACGUCCGAGUUGUAAUUUGUAGAGGAUGCUUCUGAGUAACCACCGACCUAAGUUCCUUGGAACAGGACGUCAUAGAGGGUGAGAAUCCCGUAUGCGGUCGGAAAGGUGCUCUAUACGUAGCUCCUUCGACGAGUCGAGUUGUUUGGGAAUGCAGCUCUAAAUGGGAGGUAAAUUUCUUCUAAAGCUAAAUAUUGGCCAGAGACCGAUAGCGCACAAGUAGAGUGAUCGAAAGAUGAAAAGCACUUUGGAAAGAGAGUUAAAAAGCACGUGAAAUUGUUAAAAGGGAAGGGAUUGCAACCAGACUUGCUCGCGGUGUUCCGCCGGUCUUCUGACCGGUCUACUCGCCGCGUUGCAGGCCAGCAUCGUCUGGUGCCGCUGGAUAAGACUUGAGGAAUGUAGCUCCCUCGGGAGUGUUAUAGCCUCUUGUGAUGCAGCGAGCGCCGGGCGAGGUCCGCGCUUCGGCUAGGAUGCUGGCGUAAUGGUCGUAAUCCGCCCGUCUU
rnacentral:rRNA from 1 species